rnacentral:rRNA from 1 species
UAAUGUCUGGGAAACUGCCUGAUGGAGGGGGAUAACUACUGGAAACGGUAGCUAAUACCGCAUAACGUCGCAAGACCAAAGAGGGGGACCUUCGGGCCUCAUGCCAUCAGAUGUGCCCAGAUGGGAUUAGCUAGUAGGUGGGGUAACGGCUCACCUAGGCGACGAUCCCUAGCUGGUCUGAGAGGAUGAUCAGCCACACUGGAACUGAGACACGGUCCAG